GGAUGUGAGGGCGAUUUGGCUGCCACAUCUGUCACCCCAUUGAUCACCAGGGUUGAUUUGGCUGAUCUGACUGGCUAGGCGGGUGUCUUCUUCCUCCCUCACCACUCCAUGUGAGUCCCUCCUGACGCUGCGUGCUCGGUCAAAGAGGACUGCCUUCCCCAAAUAGAGAUAGACCUGUCUUCAGUCGAGGGUAUAUGAGUAGCUGCGUGCCCCUGCUAGAACCUCCAAACAAACUCUCAAGUUAUAUAAAAUUUCCAUCCCAUGUUUUCUCUAUCUAUAAUAUGAAGAUAAUAAUAGAUCUACUUU
ensembl:misc_RNA 7SK 7SK RNA